GUGAAUAAUUGUAUAUCUUCCCCAAUGUUAUAGACUCUUUUCAGUUUUCUUGAUUCAUAUAUUUUGGUUUUCUAAACUCCUUUCUUAUACGUUUCGAAGCAAAAGUUGCCUGCUAUGUCUCUUUCAUUUCAAAUAGGUCCAAUUUAACAUAUUCUAAUCAUUCUUUUAUCAUACACUCUAUAAAUAAGGGUUCUCUUUUGGCUAAAGCUAAAACUACAACAGCCUAUAUACUCUCAAAUAUCAUGAAGGCCUUCUACAUAGUAAGUUUUCUUUUAACUUCCGUCAUCUUUGUUCCUUCGUCUAUAAUAGCUCGGGAGCUAUCUCAAUCAGAAGAAAACAGUGCCCUAGGGCAUAAGCUUAUGGAGCUGACACAGGUUACUGUUGGAUGCUGCGUGCGUUUCCGAAAGCCGAAACCUAGGGAGUGUCCGCCAAGCCCUCCCCCAUGCGGCGCCCCUCCUUGAAAAAAGAUGGUAAUUAUAUUAAGGUGGUUGUUGUAAUGAAAUAAGAGUGAAUGCAAGACAAAGAAGAAUAAUUUGGCUUUGUGUCACACAAGGAUAGCUUGCAGGAAUUUGCGAUUGAGGAGGAGGAGGAUUCAUAAUGCAGUUAUUAUGUUUAGUUGUCAUUUCAAAAAGUACUCUAUAUAUAUAUAAUAUAGUGUAAUAUAUGAAUAUGUGUGUAUGUUUUGAAAGUAUGUAAUUUUCCUUUCCCUCUAGUCUUUUAAAUUAACAGUCAUGUUUACUUAACUGAUGAAAGUUAGUUUAUUUGUUUUUCUGCAA